rnacentral:rRNA from 1 species
CCUACGGGGGGCAGCAGUAGGGAAUAUUGCUCAAUGGGGGAAACCCUGAAGCAGCAACGCCGCGUGGAGGAUGAAGGUUUUCGGAUUGUAAACUCCGUUUGUUAGAGAAGAGAAGGACGGUAGCUAACGAAUAAGCACCGGCUAACUCCGUGCCAGCAGCCGCGGUAAUACGGAGGGUGCAAGCGUUACUCGGAAUCACUGGGCGUAAAGAGCGCGUAGGCGGGAUCGCAAGUCAGAUGUGAAAUCCUAUGGCUUAACCAUAGAACGGCAUUUGAAACGGUUAUUCUAGAGUAUGGGAGAGGUAGGUGGUAUUCUUGGUGUAGUGGUCCAAUCCGUCGAGAUCCAGAGGAAUCCUCAUUGCGAAGGCGACCUGCUAGAACAUAACUGCCGCUGAUGCGC